UUUCCGUAGGUGAACCUGCGGAAGGAUCAUUACAGAGUUCAUGCCCUCACGGGUAGAUCUCCCCCCUUGAAUAUUUAUACCUUAGUUGCUUUGGCAGGCCGUGGAAACACCAUGGGCUCCGGCUUAUGCGUGCCUGCCAGAGGAAACAAACUCUGUUUUUAGUGAUGUCUGAGUACUAUAUAAUAGUUAAAACUUUCAACAACGGAUCUCUUGGUUCU
rnacentral:misc_RNA from 1 species